AAGGUACGCCUGUUUGAGU
rnacentral:rRNA from 1 species